AGUGAGCUGAGCUGUGUCCUGGCUCAGACGGACAGCUCUGACUCGCUCUCUCUUUCUCUGGGCGCCUGCGCGCCUACCAUGUCAAGCCAUUUGAGGCGAGCCGAGCCCCAGAGCCAUGUCUCUGGUGCACAGAGUUAACAGGGCAGUUAUACCUUUUGCAGACAACUGUGGCUCCAAGUCAAGUAUGAACUUACACAAACAGUUUAUAUAACAAGUGGAGGUGUGCGCCUGCGUGCCAAACUUGCUGACUCAUGCAGGCCUGGAUACCCGCCUCAGCCUAUUCCUUGACCGAAGCACUUCCAGAUUCCUUGUGAGCAGGGACCCUGGUUUAUUCAUCUCGUAUCCUCAGCACCUAACAUACCACGUGGUUCAAUAAAUUUUUCUGUUGGACAGAACCCUUCUAGACUGGAUCAUUAUGUCUUCACCCUGACAGCGAGGGCAGGAAACUGAAGCUCUUGGGAAGGUGGAAGUUGCACGUGGUCUCACAGUCAACUGUGCCAGAAUAGGAGGCCAGGAACCAUCUCUGUUGGAGGAAGACCCACCACGCAUCCCUUCAAGAAUGCCAAGGUCCAGAGCAAGCGCUUCCCUUCUAUGGGCACAGGAGGGCUGUGGGAGCCCACAGAAUGGGCUUCUGGCCAGAGUGGGAUCCGCGAGGAAGAUGUUAAGACCUCUAAUAAUAUUUAAGAGCAAAAUUAGCACAGCUCCAGCCCAUGGGCAAGUUAGAGACAGGAGUGGUGUCUGUGGAGUGGAGGAAAGCAGAGGCUGCCGCUGACCAUCCUGCAGCCCUCGCUCUGGCUGCUCACAGCUCUCCACCUUCUCUGGACUUCGUCACUUCAGUAUGUGAAACAACCAUUUCAACCAGCUUGGACAAAAGAGAGAAGCCAAGAUGGGGCUGAGAAACCAAUGCAGGCAGGCCCAGGGACCCAGGAGUCAGGGACCAGGUGCUACCGGAUGCUUGCUCUGACUCAUGUUGCUGCUGUCUUCUCUGUGCCUCAACUCUGUCCUCUGUCACUGCAGGCAGCUUCCUCCCAAGGUGGUAAGUAGGGCUGCUGCCAGCCCUGGUGAAUGACAUCUUAGUUUUUACACUGGAGAUACACUGACCGCCUUUCUUGGUUCCAGGAUGAAAAAGUCUGGGGAGGACUUUGACUCUUACCCAUCCCCUGGAAAAAUCAACUGGGGAGGUGGAAUUCAUGGAAGAACAUGGCAGCUCCUGAGGCAGAUGUUUGGGUUGGAAAGAACACACCAUUCAUUCAUUCAUGUGGCACUUUUUUUUUUUUUUUUUGACGGAGUUUCACUCUGUUACCCAGGCUGGAGUGCAGUGGCGCGAUCUCAGCUCACUCAUGCAGCACAUUUUUAUUGAGCAAAACUGAGAGGCUGAGUGAGGGACCAAAGUCUUCACUGAUGAGGGAUAGGGUGCCCAGAGAUUGGCAGAUGAAGGUGAAGAGAAAAGGUAGAGGACACCAAGGGCCCUGCCAAGCAGCAGAAGUAGGAGGAAUUGAGGAGCUUCUUCCAGAAUGAAAUCAGUUGCACUUUUUUAUUUUUUAUUUUUUGAGACAGGGUAUUUCUCUGUUCUCCAGGCUGGAGUGCAGUGGUUGAUCUCGGCUCACUGGUGACCAGCCUUUGGCUGCUGGCUCAAGUGGACUUCCUGCCUCAGCCUCCUGAGGAGUUGGUAUUACAGGCACGUACCACCAUGCCUGGCUAAUUUUUGUAUUUUUAGUAGAGAUGGGGUUUCACCAUGUUGUCCAGGCUGAUCUUGAACUCCUGAACUCAAGUAAUCAGCCCGCCUCGGCCUCCCAAAGUGCUGGGAUUUUAGGCGUGAGCUACUGGGCCCGGCCCAAUUGCUCCUUUGAAAGGAAGUCCUGCUAUGAAAAAAAGUAGCAGUUGAACUAAAUGGUGAAUUGAAUGAUGUAGCUGCUUUACAUCCUGGCUCAAGCUCCUGACCUUGUUGUAAAACAAUAAAAGUUUGGGCACCAGCAGUGAGUCUCCCAGCUACACUGUGAGUAGCUGUGCCCGAGGGGAAUUCUUGCACAUACUCUAUGGGAGAUGUGUACAAGAAUGUGCAUAGUAGCAUUGUCUAUAAUAGCUAAAAAAGGAAACAACCCAGAUAUUCAUAAGUAAUAGAAUAAAAAAGAAAUUUUGGCAUAAUGAAAUCCCAUAUAGCAAAGAAACCAAAUAAACUACAGCUACACCCAUCAACAUGAACAAAUUUCAAAAAUACUGUUGAGCAAAGACAGCAUGUUAAGAAGGUUACAAUUAGCAUGGCUUUGUCACGUGAAAUUCACAAAAGGCACCACUAAGCAGUAUAUUGGUUAGGGAUCCACAACAAAUGGAUUAAAACUAUAAAGGAAAGCCAGGGAAUGAGUAACACCUGUGUCAGGUCAGUGGCUUGCCCCAGGGUUUGGGAAGGGAGAGCAAGACAAUUGGGAAGGGUGGGCAUGGAGUGAGCUUCAUGGUAUUGGCAAUGUUCAAUUCCUUAAGCUGGGUGGUGUGGAUAUGGGUAUCUGGUUUUUAUUAUUAUUCUUUAAGCUGGACAUAUACGUUAUGCACAUUCUUUUGUAAUAGGAUCUAUUUCACAAUGAAAAAAAAAUUGUAAAGCGAUAUAGCCAAAACCAAAGCUCCUCCACACCGCAAUAAAAGGUAGAGUUUGAUGUG